ACUCCUACGGGAGGCAGCAGUGGGGAAUAUUGCACAAUGGGCGCAAGCCUGAUGCAGCCAUGCCGCGUGUGUGAAGAAGGCCUUGGGUUGUAAAGCACUUUCAGUCGUGAGGAAGGUAGUGUAGUUAAUAGCUGCAUUAUUUGACGUUAGCGACAGAAGAAGCACCGGCUAACUCCGUGCCAGCAGCCGCGGUAAUACGGAGGGUGCGAGCGUUAAUCGGAAUUACUGGGCGUAAAGCGCAUGCAGGUGGUUGUUAAGUCAGAUGUGAAAGCCCGGGGCUCAACCUCGGAAUAGCAUUUGAAACUGGCAGACUAGAGUACUGUAGAGGGGGUAGAAGUUUCAGGUGUAGCGGUGAAAUGCGUAGAGAUCUGAAGG
rnacentral:rRNA from 1 species